GGCCUUCGCCCCGUCGUGAGGAGGGCGCGCCUCCCCUCAGCCCCGCCAAAACCAGGGGGGAGGGUCCUGUUGCUUUUUAUUGAAAGCCUCAAUUAAAAUUAACCUGGGAGGGCAAUAAUAAGGAAGGAAAUGAAGGGAUGGAUGUAAAAGUAUAUGUGUGCUGCGGUGUCAUUACUUGUCGGUGGCGAUUAAGGGAGUCCUGCUGUCUGGAAAUUGGCUUUGCCUCCCAGGAAACCUGAGGAAAGCGCUGCCCUAGGUAAUGCUGCUGUAGCUCUUGGGAGAGGCUUGGAAUGAAAAAGAUACAGGGAAGUAGCUGAAAACACUGGCUGCAUCUCUGUGUCUCUUGGAGGUCACUUGCUGAUUUAUCUCCAAUUCACAGCUCAUUAGAAGGAAGGAGUGACUCCCGUGGUCAUCAGGACCAAGUGGAGAAGCUGUUUCCUGAACCGAGCUUUUCUUGCAGUGACACUGGAGGAUCUGUUAAAUCCAGUGACUCAAAAAUUAUUCAGCCGUUGAGGAAUUUCGGGAGUUAAGGCAAAGCACAGUGGCCAAGCUUGUAUGGUUUAGGAGGAAAUGCAGAGGUGAAUUUGAGAUCCUCGAAGCUGACAAGACCACGUUUGUGAACAAACAAGUUCAUUUCCACGGAAGAACUUCCCCUGUGCAUUUCAAUUUCCAUCAGAGCUGGCUGUGUGCUAUUUCCAGUGGUUGAGUUUUUCAGCCCAGACUUGGAAAUCACUCCUUCCCUCUUUAUCCUGGUGGUCCUUCCCCUCCAGGAGAAUCCCAGCUUGGAUUCCAAUGGAGCCAGCAGUGAAGGGUGGAUUUGGAGCAGUGUGAAAUUCUUGCUGGUGCUGCUGCAUCUCCUGACAGGAGAGCAGAGCCACAGAGGGGGAAACAGCAUCAACAUUCUUCAUAAAGCAGAGAAAAGAGCUGAAAGUUAUUAUGUAAAAUGGGUAAAUUGGAGUCUUUAAAGGAGCUGCCAACUUACAUUUGCCUGAGUUCCUUCAGCACUGGAGAGGAGAGGAAGAAUUCCAGACACGUCAUCCUGAUUUCACAAGUCUGCAGAGAUCUCCAGAGUGGACUUACCCAUCUGUGUGAGGAGGAAGGCUAUACAUGCAAAUUCAGAUUCCUGAUGCAUUCCCACUAACUCUGUCCUUCUGUUCUGGCAGAAUGAGGAGAAACUGGGCUGCCAAAAGGUGAAGACAAGCACUUUAUCUGCAAGAGAAUAUUCAUUUAUAGGACUUCACUGGUGACAGAGGUUUGAAAUGGGAAAUGGGCUUAAAGCCUUCUUCAGGAGAGAUUUACUCACAGUUUUCUGCAGUGUGAUUGCUUUGAGUCUGUAAGGUCAUUGUGGUUGAAGGCAUGAAGAUGAGGACAUCAAAGCCUUUGCCCACCUAUGACAAUUACUCUGGAGACAAACACAGCUCAGAAGACAAAUGUUAUGAGCUACCUGUAAGUUCUGGUUCACAAAACAGAUGAGAAUCCAGAGAUACUCCUGAACUUGGAAAUGAAAUUUAUUCUCAAGGUGGAGCCUCAUCUUGAGCAGCCUUGGGAGGGCCAAAGGUGGUUCCUUUUCCAGUUCCCUGCCUGGAUUUUAGAAGAUACCAUUUUUUAACAUCUAAACAAGGAAAUCACAGCAAUUUCCAUGGGAAGAAUCACAGAGAUGGCAGGGCUUCCCCCCAAAACACUGCCUGUGUAAUUGCUGAAGACAUUCCAAGCCACUCUAACGAAGUGCUGUCUGCCAGUCAUUAUGUUCUCCUUGGAGGACCAUCUGUUGCACUUCAAAUAUGUAAAGGUCUCUAUCAUUUAUUGCUCCAAACAAAUCCAGGCCUUUGUCUGAGGUGCUGGAGCUCCUGAAUGGAUUCUAAAGGUGGUUGCAGUCACAAAGGGCAGGGUAUUCCCUUUGGUUUUAGUCCUUCAGCUCAAAUUUCAGAGCACAAAUAUACUGGUUAAACCAAUAUCUGAAUAUUUUCAAUUUAUUUAGAAAUGAAUUAUGAACAAUAACAACUCAAAGUAUCUGAAAUAUGUUUUCAUUCAGCCAGGAGGACAUUGGAAGAUUUUUGCAUCUGGUGAACAAAUCUUUCCAUUGUAGUGGUAUCCAGAUUUGAUAUAUACUGAUAUUGGAAUGAAAAUUACCUUAUUUUAACUAAAUUAAUUAGUUUAUCUGUAUCUGAAAAUAGUGAUUCAAAGGAAUGGUAAAAAAUAGAGUCAGCAGCUUAAAAUGCUCAAGCCUUCCUUAGCACGUGUCCUUUACAAGGAUGUAAUACUUGGUUGUACAGUCAUUAUUUAUAGGUUAAUUAGGAUCCUUUCCAUGAGUAAAAUGAGCAAGAUCAAGCAUUAAAAUGUGCUGGGUUUUGUUUUUCCUGCUGAGAUUUUAAAGAGGCUGUACAGUCAGAUUGGAGAACGUGAGCAUUGCAUUUUCACAGCAGAAAAGUUCUGCUCAGAGGUUUCCAGCCACAGAAAUCCAUAACAAUUUCUGUCUGAUUAGGGAGUGGUCCUGUCUUCAUCCCUUUCUUCUCUUGCCCUUCCCCUUCUCCUUCCUGCUCAGCAGCUAAUGUUCUGGUCAGAAGUAAUAAUAUGUUAGAUCUUGAAUGUCAGUAGCCCCAGAGAUUCUGACAAGACUAUUCAUGUGCAUUCAUACGUCUUAACCAAAGCUGACACUAAAGAGAGCAAGAAUUCUCAUAUUCCUCUUUUUAUUGCUGUGCAUUAAACUCAAAUCUUCUCUUGGAGACCUCUGCUAGAAAUGACAAAUCCACCAUUUGAAAAAGGCAUUUUAGCAAGGUCUAAACAAAGCAGCUGGACAUCAAUCUGGCACAGGGCAGAGGCUCCUGUGAGAGCUCACAGUGCAAAGCUGAACUCUGCUUUACACCUUCCCAGUGCUGUGAGAGAAAUACUAAUGGGAAAUAACCAUUCCUCCUAAUCUUUUAAAAUCACUUUUUAAUUGAAAUUUAGAUUUUUUUUUUUUUUUAACUAUAGGAUAUGUCCUUAUUGGGAUAUUUGGAUUCUGGUAACUCAAGGUUGUUUUCUGAGAAACACACACUGAGUGAAUAUUCUGCUCUACCUUUUACUCUGGACAUAUUUUACACACACUUGUAGGAUGGUGUGCUGCACAUGUUUGGGUAAUUUUGCAGGGAUCUGAUUAAGUUGUUAAAGCCAGGUAGGCAAUUUUGCCAGCAGUGAUAUUUUUAAUCUUCUUUUUUAAAAUGGUUUGGUAGUAGUGACUAAGGCAGACUAGGUGGCUCUGGGCAGCUCGCCAUUUUUAGGUAGUUUAAUUUGUUAAAAAUUAUCUUUCUUCCCACCCAAAUCUCCUUGAAACCAUUUGGAGAAGAGAACUGUUGAACAGUUGCCAGUAAUAAGUCCUGCUGAGACCUCUGUAUCCUCCUGACAGAAAUGUUGGUGCCAACUGGAGACUGACUGGCACGAGUUUGAACUCUACACUACUUGAUAUAUUUGCUUCACAUGCACCAAUUACAAUAAUUACCACCUCUGCAGCUGAAGUUUAAGCACUCACUCUGCACUCCAUACCUCAGGUUGUUGGCAGUAUGUUCAAUCCUAUAAUCUCAAUUUUCUUGGAAUAAUUAAGUAGAAAAUAAAUACUUCAAAAAAUUAGGAGAGAGUCGGAAUGGAAAUCAGAGGCUGAAUAAUAGAGUUGUUUGUCAUGUUGCUAUUGUUAAGCUGCA